UCCGAAUUGGUGUAGUGGCCAACAUUUGACGCUCUCAACAUAGUGAAGUACCGUCAAGCCCGGGGUUCGAUUCCCCGAUUCGGAG